rnacentral:rRNA from 1 species
GACGAACGCUGGCGGCGUGCCUAAUACAUGCAAGUCGAACGCAGUGGGGACGGGUGAGUAACACGUGGGUAACCUCCCAUCAGAGGGGAUAACACUUGGAAACAGGUGCUAAACCGAUACUGAUGGAUGGACCCGCGGUGCAUUAGCUAGUUGGUGAGGUAACGGCUAACCAAGGCCACGAUGUAUAGCGCACGUAGGAGGGUGAUGGGCCACACGGGGACGGAGCGGCGGCCCAAACUCCUACGGGAGGCAGCAUUAGGGAAUCUUCGGCAAUGGACGAAAGUCUGGCCGAGCAACGCCGCGUGAGUGAAGAAGGUUUUCGGAUCGUAAAACUCUGUUGUUAGAGAAGCGGUAUCUAACCAGAAAGCCACGGCUAACUACGUGCCAGCAGCCGCGGUAAUUC